GACGAACGCCGGCGGCGUGCUUAACACAUGCAAGUCGAACGGAAAUGCCCUGCUUGCAGGGUACUCGAGUGGCGAACGGGUGAGUAACAUGUGGGUGAUCUGCCCUGCACUUCGGGAUAAGCCGAGGAAACUGGGUCUAAUACCGGAGAGGAGCCAUUUUUAGUGUGAUUGUUGGAAGGUUUUUUAGGUUUAGUAUGAGCUCGCGGCCUAUCAGGUUCUGGUUGGGGUAAUGGACUACCAAGGAGGCGACGGGGAGUCGGCCUGAGAGGGUGGACGGCAACGUUGGGACUGAGAUACGGCCCAGACUCCUACGGGAGGCAGCAGUGGGGAAUAUUGCACAAUGGGCGCAAGCCUGAUGCAGCGACGCCGCGUGGGGGAUGACGGCCUUCGGGUUGUAAACUCCUUUCGCUAGGGACGAAGCUUUUUGUGACGGUACCUAGAUAAGAAGCACGGGCUAACUACGUG
rnacentral:rRNA from 1 species